rnacentral:tRNA from 1 species
CCGCCGGUAGCGUAGUGGUUAUCGCUCCAGACUGGUAUUCUGGAGGUCGUGGGUUCGAAUCCCACUCUGCGGG